ensembl:lncRNA
AAAAUAAUGUAUGAUUGGUUUGGGUAGAAGAAGGAGGCCAAAAUGGAAUUAUAAGGAACAAAUUAAGGGCAAAAGCAAGUUCAGAAGAAAGAGCUGAUUCUGCCAUGCAUAGCCUUUGAAGUGUUUCAGUGUCUUCUGACAUUUUCUCUGCCACUUAAUUUCACAUUAAAAAAAAAAACACAGGCUACUCUCAAUGAGAAUGUAACCUCCUUUGAGGUAUGAUCUUUUGACAUGGACAUUACAUGUCUUGUGGGACCAAAGAAUCCUUUAAUCAUACUACAAUGCAGGUGGUCUACAGGCCUUCGGCUGAAUAGAUAUCUACUGUUUAAUUUCUACCCAAACCUUUGGGUGUAUUGUUGCCUCAGAUUAAAUGACUUAAGGCAGCAUUUAGUAUUUAUCAUGAUACGAUGCCUUGCUUAGAAAGCUGCCUGUUUAACAAGGGAUCAUUCAAGCACUUGCUUUUUGGUAGAGAAGGUCAUCAGAGUAGGAAGGCUUAAAUGGUUACAUUCAUAUGGCUUCCAACUGGUGUUGACCGAGAGUGGGUACCUCUAUGACACCUUUUGUUCUCCAGUGAGUUGGACUGACCAUUGCAACAGUGCCAAGAACAGAAGAACUCUUCGGGACUCAUCUCUACACCUGAUCAAACAUCACUCCUGCCACUCUCUCAUCUCUGUUGAAAACAAGCUGCAAGAUCUUUCUAAAAUUGGGGCAUAGUAGCAGACAUGGCUGAAAAGAAACCAGGGAUGUAGCAGAGGACUUUCCAUCUGAAGGCGAGAGUUACCAAGGUUAGUAUGGUUGUUAGCCAUUCCAAAUAUGACUGACUCCUUUCCCAGGGUACUGUGUGGGUAAUGAUAUCCUCAGCUGUCUCUCUCUUGAUGCCUUCAAUUAACAGGAUUUGCAUGGAGGGAACCACACAUGCAAAUUAUUAUUAGCAUAAAAAUAGGUAAUUAUUAUUUUUUUACAUUUGCAUCAUCACAGAUGAUCUUUGAAUUAGGCAUUCUUUAGCAAUGAAUGACUAAACUAAAGAGAUUGCAGUUCAUUCAGACACUCAUUAAUUCUGAGUAAGAAAUUAAUUUCCUGUCACUCAUGUUGUAAAGAGGAGGGUGACUAUAGAGUCAUAAGUAAGGGAUGUAAUGGAAGCUGAAAUUCACCCAACCCAACCUUUCAAUUUUCAGGUGUGGGAAAAGAGACGUGGCAUGGGGAAGGUCGCAGGAUUAAUUAGUAGCAGAGCUGAGACAAGAACCUCUUCUCUUUACUUCUCUGCCCAACUCUUGCCAUCAAGCCAUGAAUGCUGAUGACCUAUUGCCCAAUUGCUUAGG